rnacentral:hammerhead_ribozyme from 1 species
AUCCAUCCGACGAGCCCCAAAUAGGACGAAACGCGCAUCCUGAAU